rnacentral:rRNA from 1 species
AUUGAACGCUGGCGGCAGGCCUAACACAUGCAAGUCGAACGAGUGGCGGACGGGUGAGUAAUGUCUGGGACACUGCCUGAUGGAGGGGGAUAACUAAUGGAAACGGUAGCUAAUACCGCAUACCAUCAGAUGUGCCCAGAUGGGAUUAGCUGGUUGGUGGGGUAACGGCUAACCAAGGCGACGAUCCCUAGCUUGUCUGAGCGGAUGACAAGCCAAACGUGAACUGAGACACGGUCCAGACUCCUACGGAAGGCAGAAGUGGGGAAUAUUGCACAAUGGGCGCAAGCCUGAUGCAGCCAUGCCGCGUGUAUGAAGAAGGCCUUCGGGUUGUAAAGUACUUUCAGCGGGGAGGCGUUACCCGCAGAAGAAGCACCGGCUAACUCCGUGCCAGCAGCCGCGGUAAUUC